GGGCACUUGGCACAGUUGGUAGCGCGCACGCUUCGCAUAAGUAGAUUGCGUGAGGUCGUGGGUUCAACUCCCACAGUGUCCA